CCCCUUCCUGUACGAACCAACCUGCCCUUCCUGUACGAGAGCGCCGCUGCUGCCGAACCAACCUGCCCUCGAUUCGGCCAGAUCCCUAACCCCCGAUCCGAUUCAUGGACACCAGACGGUCCCUCUUGCUCCUCUAGUCCGAUUCCCGCAAACCGCUGCUUAAUUUCCCCCUCGGAACGGCGCCCAGAUCUCGCCGGAGUCCGCCGCCGCCGGAAGCUCUUCCGCCGGCCGAAAUCGUCGCCACCGCGGGUCCCCCAGCACCUCGUGUUCCCCCUGUAGUGUUCCCCUUGUUUCCCUCUAGCUCCCUCAUCUUCUAGUUCUCGCAGGGAAGCGCCGUACCGAGCACAUCGAGCUCGCCCCGACGAAGACCCCACUGCCCGAGCUCCAGCCACCGCUGCCCGAGGGAGCUACCUUCACCACCGACGACCCCAUCAUCCUCACUGUUGAACUCCGUGUCCGCCAGUCAACUCUACUUCGCCGGAGUACAACCGGAGGAGUGCCGCCGCGGCGCCGCCCACGCCCGAACUUGCCGCCAUCGUUUUCUUCAAGCUCACGGAUUUUCAGAUGAUCAAUGAGAUACAGUAGGGUCGCGAGUCUUCAGUCAGCAUUUUCACCACGGGCAUUGAUGGAUUCAUCGUUUAUUAUGCUACACUGUUGUUAUUGAAUAAAGUUAGCUAUGUGCGAGAGCGGCAUAUAGCGAACGGGCUCGCACGCUCCUGGUAUGUGUGCCAAUGGGACAAGGUCACGUGGGGAUUGCAGUUAUGGCUAAUGAAGAAUACUGAUUGGUAUACACGAAGGGAACAGUGCACGAAUGGGCAUGGGUCCGUAGAUUCUGCGUGACAGAGUUAGGGAGAGCCCUGACGGCGUUUGUCAGCUAAACGGAGAGCCCCCAGUUAGGAUGGAGGGAUGCAUUGAAAUUUGUAGCUUGCAAUGCGUCACCUGGUUUUGGACAGGUUGCCGUUGCUGGCCGCCUGAAGUACAAGAAAACAAGUAAAUAUAUGUAUGUUAUGAGCUAGCAAUUUUGAUUGUUUCACAACUAAAGUGAACACUACAACCCAAGCAAUAAUAUAACAUGUUUACGGCUCA